UCCGUAGGGGGCAAGCGUUGUCCGGAUUCAUUGGGCGUAAAGAGCGUGUAGGCGGCCAGGUAGGUCGGUUGUGAAAACUGGAGGCUCAACCUUCAGAGGUCGACCGAAACCAUCUGGCUAGAGUCCGGGAGAGGAGAGUGGAAUUCCUGGUGUAGCGGUGAAAUGCGCAGAUAUCAGGAAGAACACCCGUGGCGAAAGCGGCUCUCUGGAACGGGACUGACGCUGAGACGCGAAAGCGUGGGGAGCGAACAGG
rnacentral:rRNA from 1 species